rnacentral:misc_RNA from 1 species
GAUGAAGAACGCAGUGAAAUGCGAUACUUGGUGUGAAUUGCAGAAUCCCGUGAACCAUCGAGUCUUUGAACGCAAGUUGCGCCCGAAGCCAUUAGGCCGAGGGCACGCCUGCCUGGGUGUCACACGUCGUUGCCCCCCCAUCUACUCCUUCGGGAUUGCGGGGGGCGGAUGAUGGCCUCCCGUGCGCCUCGUCGCGCGGUUGGCAUAAAUGCCAAAUCCACGGCGACGCACGCCACGACAAUCGGUGGUUGCGAAACCUCGGUUGCCCGUCGUGUGCGGUCGUCGCGCAUCGAGGGCUCGAAAAAAUUGCCGGGCUCCGGCUCGGCUUUCAACGCGACCCCAGGUCAGGCGGGGUUACCCGCUGAAUUUAAGCAUAUCAAUAAGCGGAGGA